CUCUUACUCCCUCCGUUCCAAAUUACUCGUCGCAGAAAUGGAUGUAUCUAGAACUAAAAUACAUCUAGAUACAUUCAUUUCUGCGACGAGUAAUUCGGAACGGAGGGAGUACAUC
rnacentral:pre_miRNA from 1 species